rnacentral:rRNA from 1 species
AUUGAACGCUGGCGGCAGGCCUAACACAUGCAAGUCGAGCGGAUGAAGGGAGCUUGCUCCUGGAUUCAGCGGCGGACGGGUGAGUAAUGCCUAGGAAUCUGCCUGGUAGUGGGGGAUAACGUCCGGAAACGGGCGCUAAUACCGCAUACGUCCUGAGGGAGAAAGUGGGGGAUCUUCGGACCUCACGCUAUCAGAUGAGCCUAGGUCGGAUUAGCUAGUUGGUGGGGUAAAGGCCUACCAAGGCGACGAUCCGUAACUGGUCUGAGAGGAUGAUCAGUCACACUGGAACUGAGACACGGUCCAGACUCCUACGGGAGGCAGCAGUGGGGAAUAUUGGACCAUGGGCGAAAGCCUGAUCCAGCCAUGCCGCGUGUGUGAAGAAGGUCUUCGGAUUGUAAAGCACUUUUAGUUGGGAGGAAGGGCAGUAAGUUAAUACCUUGCUGUUUUGACGUUACCAACAGAAUAAGCACCGGCUAACUUCGUG